ACAGCAGGCUGGUCUGUCGCUGUCCCGAAUGUUCGGGAAAGAGGAAAGUCCGGGCAACAUAGAGCGCCACACUUCUUAACGGGAAGCGUCCGCGAGGAUAGAGUAGUGUGACAGAAAAUAACCGCUCCUUUGGAGUAAGGGUGAAAAUGUGCGGUAAGAGCGCACGCGGCUGGGUGGCGACAUUCAGUCGGCACACCUUGUGGGUUGCAAGGCCAAGUAUACCGGCAUGGGGUUGCUCGCUCCGUUAUGCCGGGGGGUAGGCUGCUCGAGGCUGCCGGUGACGGCAGUCCUAGAUAAAUGACAGGCACUUUCGGUUGAAAGUACAGAACUCGGCUUAUAGGCUUGCUGUUUUU
rnacentral:RNase_P_RNA from 1 species